CAAUAGCGUAUAUUAAAGUUGUUGCAGUUAAAAUGCUCGUAGUUAAAGAUCGGAUCGAGUAAAGCGUUGAAUUGCAGUCUACUAUGGCGCUCUUUACUUUGAGAAACAUAGGGUGUUCCAAGCAUGUUAGAGCAUGAAUAUUCCAGCAUGGGAUAAUGUGGUACGACUUUUCCUCUGCCAUUUUGGUUCGUAGAGGGUGAGUAAUGAUUAAUAGGGACUGUCGGGGGCAUUGGUAUUUGACUGUCAGAGGUGAAAUUCUUAGAUUUGUUGAGGACCGACUACUGCGAAAGCAUUUGUCAAGGAUGUCUCCAUUAA
rnacentral:rRNA from 1 species